UGUUCGUUGCUUCCUUUGCCGACUCACUCUUUCUUACACCCUUUUUUGUUUCUUCCAUUUUCUUCUCGCGCGCACCACUCUUAUUCUCUCUAUUGCCUACUUACUGUUCGACGAAAUGCUCCAAGCAUGCACUUCCUCACCGCACCCUCCCUUUCCCUGUUCUCGCCUCACCUGAUCCCGUCCCUUGUCGCCCCGCUCUACUUCCCCGGCUCGACCGGGCGGGCGCGCCGGUUUGAGGUGGAACCUGGUUCGGUUCUCCAUUCUUCUUGGAGGGGGACCUGCUACAAGGGUUUGUGCUGGUCCUGUACUGGGUUCUUGCGGCGGUGUAAGGAUUGGGGCGGAGAAUUUUCCUCUCUCGAAUCCGAAAUUCUGGAGUUUAUGCAGAGUUCCGAUAAGCCCGAAGCGUUUCCCACCAAAGAGGAGUUGGUUGCUGCAGGGAGGGUGGAUUUGGUUAACGCUAUUGUCAACGAGGGAGGGUGGCUUGCGUUUGGGUGGGAAUUGAAUGGCAGGUCCAGUGGGAUUGGCGGUCUUGAAGAUAAUUGUAGCCAUGGAAUUGACGGUUAUGCCACUCAGGUUUCUGGGGUUUCUUCACCUUCUUCUUCUUCUUCCCAAACAGAUGACUCAGUAGAAAUUGAAGCUGACAAUGAAUCUGGCAUUGCGGGAAUAUUGAAUCGAUUGGAGAAACAAAGAAGUAGAUCUUUUGGGCUUGGCGUAGAUAAUAUUUCUCCUGAAAAUAAUGAAGACGGAGAUGAAUGGGAUCAUAGAACGGCUGUGGAUGCAAUAGCUACUGGCCUUGAAAAUAAUAGCAGAGCACCCUCAUUUAGCCCCACAAGCAGUCAUCCCAGUGGUUCUCAGAUCAAACCUGAUCAGCAUGGGUCACAAUUAGGUACUGAAAAUUCAGAAAACUCAGUUAAGCCAGAGUCAUGGCGGAGUUGGAUUGUUCAGAGAAAUGGUUUUCCAGAUGCAGAUUUUGAAGAUGCUGAAAUUAUUCCUAGUGAAACUCAGAAAGGAGGCAUGAGAAGGGAGUUUUCGUCUGAACUUAUAAACAAUGAAACAGGAUUAUAUUCUCUUGAUGGAAAUGCAAGUCACAAUGACAUUAAAUCCCGUAUCCAGCAUCUGCAAUCCGAGCUAUCUUCUACCCUUCACUCGUUGAGGUCUAGCUCAGAUAAAAUUACCAAGCAGAUAGUCCAUAAGAGCUCUUCUGAUGAUCUGGCAAAGCUUUCCGAUGCUUGGGAAUUUCAGGAAAAUGAGAUCAUGAAUGCUCAGGACAAAUUGCGUUCUAUACAGGCUAAGUUGGCAGUGUUAGAAGGAAAGAUGUCAUUGGCAAUAAUGGAUGCACAUAAGUUAGUCGAAGAAAAGCAGAUGAAGAUUAGUAAGGCUCAAAAGGCUUUGCACAUGCUGAAGACUACUUGUGUAGUCUGGCCAAAUAAUGCUUCAGAAGUAUUUUUAACGGGAUCAUUUGAUGGUUGGUCCAACAAGAGAAAGAUGGAGAGGUUAAGUAGUGGUAUAUUUUCUGUGAGCUUGCAGUUGUAUCCUGGAAGAUACGAGAUGAAGUUCAUUGUAGAUGGAGAAUGGAAAAUUGAUCCGUUGCGUCCUAUUGUAACCAACGAUGGCUAUGAGAAUAAUCUUUUUAUAGUUAGUGAAUGAUGGAAGAGAAAGUUAGCCUAAGAUAAUAUCUUUGGAACACAGGAGGGAUGACAUGCACUAGCUCUUCUUCCUUAUCACCGCAGACCACAACGCCUCCAACAGUCAGGGCCGCCACUGCACGUCCCACCGCCGGCGAGAGACGACGCUGACGCCGACGGUCACCCCCGGAGCAUCACCGCCGAGAACCAAGUUUCCCGAAUUGUUCCCUCUUGUUUUUUCUAUCACGCACACGUGGAGUCAGGGUUUUCUCCUUCACUCUCAUCCGCGGCAGCCCUUGCCCUCUACAUAACCAGCGCCGCCGCUACCCCCUGGCCGACCUUUCUUUGUUCUUCUCGCGCGAGCCACACCGGGUCCUGGAAGCCACGGCACCGAGCCCCACUGUCGCGCUACCAACCAUGAUCGAAGCCGCCGUUGAUCUGCUCAUUCGAACUCCGACUCGCCGGUGGCACUCUCUGCUUUGAUUGGACGUGUGUGAUUUGGGAAUAUGAGACGCGAGUGUUUGGUGUUGGAAUGGGGGUUCCGUUCGGUGAAUGGGGGUCUCUGUUUUUUAUUUUUGAUUUUUACGCAGGUGUAAGAUGAAGAUGAUGGUGGUGCGUGAAUGAGCUGCACUGGCCGAGAAUAAGUAAAUGGAGGUGUUGGAAAAUGAGAUCAUUGUUCCUGAAUUUUUUGUGUGUUUUUUUUUUUCAGAUAUAAUGGAUUGAAUGGCUGGGUACGGUGGGUUGGGUUCUGUAUUUUUCCAUGUUUUUUGCAGGUGGAAGAUGAAGGUGAAAGCACCGGAAGGCUAACUGGUGAUGGAGAAGUUUUUGUUGUGUGAUCUAUGUAUGAUGAUUGAUGGUUGAGGGAAUGAUGUAUUUGGGUUUCUGUUUCUUGGGACGAAAAAACUGAAGAAGAAAGGGUUGGCGUGAGAAGGUGAGGCCGUGAGGAUUGAGGGAGAGGGUGGUUUUCGGUUGUGCCACCAUGAUGGGUGAAGAUCGUUAAGCACUUGACCAACAACAGGACAUGUGAUUAUUCGAAUCAAGAGCCAAUCAGUUAAACACAGAUAAAUGCAGCAAACACAGUGUAUCAUGUUCGUUUAUGACAUUCAAGUUGAAGAUGAAACACAAAGCUUAACACACAUACAUCAUGCUCACUCAAACAAACAAACAUUGAAAGUCCAGAACUUACCUCUUGGAGCUCUCUCUGUGCUGGUGGUCUUGAGUUCCCUUACUCCUGUUCUGUUGUUGUAAUCUUUUUCCUCCUCACUUUUUUCUCUUUUUUUUUUUUUAUCCUGGUUCUGUUGUUGAUCUUUUUCCCCCUCUAUUAUCUUUUGUUAUUUUUAUUCGAUGAGGAUGAAUGAUCGCAAAAUGGAGAGGUCAUUGGGAUUUUUUUGUUGCUGGAAAAAUUUGUGAGGUUUGAAUGUGAAUAUCCCUUGGAUGGAGAUGAAGGUUGAGAGAAUAGAAAAUCACUUGCGAGAUGAGUGGUAGCCGAUAUGCUUUUCUGUAAAAAUUGGAAGAAGAGAAAAGGUGAUUAUGGAGAUAGUGGAUGUGUGUAAUGGGGUCAAGAGUUGCGUGUGAUCCCUGCUCUGGGAACAGGUGACCCCAAAUGGGAUGAAGUUUCCUGCCAUUCAAUUCUUUCAACAUUGCAAGCAAUUCCACUCUCAUGCAAAAAUGUAUGGCAGUCUAAGCCUAAGCCUAAGCCUAAGCUUACUACAACAACCUAAUCUUUAGUUUUAAAGGUCUCACUCACCAAUGUUUAACAAAUCCAUUAAGUAAAUCAUCCCAAAUCAUCUAUAUUUGCGGGGAUGAAGAUAUAGGUUUUGUUCUCAUCUAGGUGAUUUCUGUGCACGAGUGAUGGGAAGCGUAGAAAAUUUUUGAGUUCCUCUUUGUUGAUUUAAAAGCAAUUUUUUUAUUGAUUUAAAAGCAAAGAAAAGUGACGAUUUGAGGGAUUGGGAUGUACUCUCAUCUCUCUAUCAUGAAGAGAUUAGAGAGUGAUCGAGGUUUUUUUAUGUAAUUACCCUUAUUAUUUUAUUUGAAAUAAAUUAAGUAUGGUGUUGUCUUCUGGAAUUGAAAUGAA